UACGUAGGCAGCGAGCGUUGUUCGGAGUUACUGGGCGUAAAGCGUGCGUAGGCGGUCUUGUAAGUUUGGUGUGAAAUCUCCCGGCUCAACUGGGAGGGUGCGCCGAAAACUGCAAGGCUGGAGUAUGGGAGAGGUAGGCGGAAUUCCUGGUGUAGCGGUGAAAUGCGUGAGAUAUCAGGAGGAACACCUGUGGUGUAGACGGCUUACUGGACCAUGACUGACGCUGAGGCACGAAAGCGUGGGGAGCAAACAGG
rnacentral:rRNA from 1 species